rnacentral:lncRNA from 1 species
AGAAGGUAUAGUGCUCAUUAUUGUAAGGAAAUUUUUUUUAGAAAUUUUGAAAUUUGGCAAAAUUUGAACCUCCAAGUUUAGACUAAACAUGCAAGCAAUUGCCCACCCCCACUUAAAAAAUUGCAAACUUUUGAAAAUCAAAAUAAAGGGAGAAAAAUAAGGGAGAACUUUGGACUCCCCUGGAAGGAUCGACAUCCUUGGCUUUGGUUUGAAGCUUGCAUGGAUAAACCUCUUCAUUCCUUUUUCAUUGAUUAUUCAUCCUUGUUCCUGAAAAUCAAAGAAAGUUCUCUCAAUUUCAUUUAUUACUAAAAUUAGAUAAUUAUAUUAACUGUAUUUUUAACACUUUUGGUAGUUUAUGUUUGGUGUAUUUUCAAUGGUAUUUUUAUAUAAAGUACAAAGUUUAUGGGUAUUCUGUAUAAUUUAGCCUUGAAAUUUCUCAGACAUGCAUCAAAUCAAAAUUUCAAAACCAUCGGUAUACUUAUGGAACCUCUUUAACAAAAAAAAAAAAAAAAUCAAACCAUGAAGUCUAACUAACCGAACACAAUUAGAUUUCUAGUAGCAGUAAUUUACCACAGAAACAUAAAUUAAUAGUUAGAAAAUAAUUGCAUGGCAUUUCUAUAAAUUUAUCACAUGAUCUUUCUUCUUCCUUUUUUUCUUUCCUUUUUUUGAUAGAACUCUAACUAAGUUAGUUAGGCUUCUACAUGUAGCAGUUAAUUAAAAUAGAGACAGAAACUAUAGAUUAACAAAAAUUGGAAGGCCUCUCGAUCAAUUUAAUACACAAUAAGUUCAUACUUGUGUCGUUUUGGAAGUAUGAAAAACGAAAAAUCGCUAUUUUCCCUAAACGAGAAACCUCUUCAUUCCUUUUUCGUUGAUUAUUCAUCCUUGUUCUUCAAACCUCAAGCCUUAAAAUUGAGGCAGUAGAGGAAAUUCUCUCAAUUUACUUCAAAGGAAGGAUCAUGUUCUCUCCUACAAAGGGUGUGUUUCUAAUUUUCAUAACUUUAUGACUUAAUAUGGCAAUGUUGUAUAAUGCAAAUCCAUAAUAGAAGAAACACCAUUUGCAGCACAACCAAAAAAAUGAAGAUUGAAUAUAAUGUAAUGCAAUAAAAUUAAAAUACUAAAGAAUCUUGUGGUCCCUUCCUUUUCUUCUUUGUUUUUGAUAAAGUAACUGCAUUUAUCACACAAACAAUUAGAUAGAAGACUUAAAACCCUAAUCUGCAUCGGACUAAGUUGAUAUUUUUCCUCUUUCUUUGUAAGUUAAAAACCACAUGAGUUUGACACUGAUUACUACCACCACAAGUCAUUUAACUUCUUCAACUGCCUCAUACUUUUCACACGAAACUGCGUCAUACAAAUUAACCCAUAAUAAAGCUACCCAAAUUCCAAACCCCAUCCGAGUUUCUGAAAUCAGUAACUCUCAUGGAAGGAAAAACUUGGACAGACUGAUGCAUAAAUUGAGAAAUGAAAGUUUGAAAAAGAUUCUUACAUCUUUGUCUAUUAGAAAAAAAAUCGAUUUCUUGCAGUAGAAUCGUUGUUCCCUACCAUUCUCAAAACAGCCUGAAUAGCCAUGUUAAGAACAGACCCAACACUGAAGUUGAAAGAGGAGAAAAAACAGCAUGUUGAAACAAAUGAAGGUUAAACCAAAAGGAUUGAACUAUAGUUUCCAAAGUUUUCAUUUCUCUUAUAUUCACGUAAUAGUAAUAGUAAUUCCUCUUUCAAACAACCACUUUUGUUUCAACAAAGAGGACAAGGCUUACGAUCCCUAAAUAGUUAGCAGUAUUGCUAUUUGGAGAAAAUGUUAAAGUUAAACAGCUGACAAUACCUUCCAGCCCCUACCACUACUAUCUUUUGGUUAACAAAAUCACUCAAUGGCUGCCCUUGAGCUCUCACAUUUCCCAAUAGUCCAGCGAGAGCAACACCAGCAGUUCCCUUUAUGAAAUGAAAUAAACGAAAAUGAAUGUCCUUUUAAGUAAUUAUCAACUGCAUGAAUACAACAUGAACUACUCACUUGUAUGUCAUCGUUGAACAUGCAGAACCUCUUAUGAUAAUGUUGUAAUGUUUCAAAAGCCCAUUUCAUUUGAAAAUCCUCAAACUGGCAUUAUUCAAAAUCAAGUUUCCCAAUAUAUCGUGUAUGGAAUUUUAAACUUUUCAAAGAAAACAAGGGUGAUCAACAUACAAAAGCCUCCCGUGGAUAGAAAAUUAAUCAAACGAAAAUUCGAUUGUUUUGUAGCAGUUUGACUUUGUUGUCAAGGAAAUUAAGAGUGAUAAGAAGGCGAGGGAGUGACUUUGAGUGGUGGCAAUUAGACAGCCAAGCAACUACACUCAAAGUUGCAGGUCGAAUAGGCAGCAGGAAGAAACAAAGAAGAAGAAGAAGAAGAAAAGCUUCGUUUUCCCUAGUGUGGAACAUGGAGGAUUCCUCCUCUUUUCAAAGCCCUCAUCAAACUCAGUGCUAUGUCUAGAACGCUAAGAGUAGGUGGUUUGGUUUUGGUUAGGCCAAAAGUGAAGUUUCCUCUCAUUUUUUAUGGCCUUUUUCUGAUGUAUAUUGCAUAUGUUGUUUGUUUUUUUAUCUCUUAAUUGUUUCACUGUUUUACGUUUGCAAGUCUCUCUUUUCUUUCUUUGGAAUGCAAUGUGGUAACUAGGUCUUGCUACAACCGGUGGACUAACCUUUCUAUGGUUGUACACUUAGUUUCUAAGUUUGACUGCUCCCUUCGAAGUGACAACAAGUUUUGUUAAUGCCCACCAUUUUCUAAAGGGAUUUAGUUCAUUGUGGCUAGACAAGAGGCUCCUAACUCAUGUUUGACAAGACAAAUUUGUUAAAACCAUCUCAAUUUCUAAAGAGUACCUCCUAUCCUUUUUUAACUCUAUCUAGGUUAGUUUGGACUAAGUGCAUCAUAGGUAAGUCGGCAAAGCAACAAAGGAAGACAAAGCUAGAAAAGUAUCCAUACUUAUUUAUUAUAUACAUGCAAUCAAGCAUUCACAACACACAUACCAUUUUCUCAAUCAUGCAUUCACAUCUCAAUAAGAUGUGGUUAAAAAGGGGCUUAAACCAAAAAAGACGGCAACUUAUUCUCAAUUUCAGCACAUAUAAUCAUCAACAUUCAGAAUUUUACAUCACAAACCUAAGCUUAGUGGUCAAGGGUUGCCAGUCAUGUUUUGUUUAGGGUUUAGGGUUUAGGGUUCUUGUUUUGUUUUUAUCGACUGUUAUGUUGGGUGAAGAACUCUAAGAACUUGCCGGCUUUGCUUUCUACUUGACCUAACAAUCGUAUUUUGCUUUCAAACAAUCUUAUACAAAUGUGUAUGGCCAGAAGAGGGAUUUAAAAUUAAUAUAAAAAAGGCAGUAGAAUAUGGCAAAAAAGGGGGAUUAAAAUUGAGAUAAAAAAGACAACCGCACAUAUUAUUACGUACAUAAUUCACAAUAUUCAGAAAAUGAACCAAGUGUUCUACUCAUUUCUAAGCUAUCAAUAUAUGCAUUUUCAACAUAUGUAACAUAUUCAAAUAACAAAUACAAUCACAAAUCCGAGCUCCGUUCUCAUGGGUUAGGCAUACAUGCAUUUUUAUGCUAAAAAGCGAAGUAGACAUGGUACUUAUUCUAAGCAUAGAGCAUUGCAAAAGUUUCUAAAUUUUGACAUGUUUAGCGAAAUUUGCAAAAUGAAAAUUUCCCAGAGGACAUGGAAUGUGCAAGGCUACAACCUCACCCCCACUUAAAAAUUUGCAUUGUCCUCAAAGCAUUUUCAGCAAUAUUGUACAGAUGGAUAAAAAAAAAGGAAAACAGAAGACCUCCCCUUGUAACCUAGUUUCUUCAUGGAAGCUUGCUUGCAAAGAUCCCAAGUUUGGUUAUAUUUCAUUUUCCUUUAUUCCUACAAAAAGAAAACAAGAAUUUCCAUCUAAUUUUAUUAAAGAGGUUAAACUAAAAAUUUUAGAAAAAUGUGCAGAAUUGUUUAAGUUCGGUUGCAUUUUCUAAGUAUCACUUGAAUUAUUAAAACGACCUAACAAAUAUUCAAUACAAGUUCGUAACUCAUAACCUACCAAAAAGUUCAAAAAGAUUGUUGUGGGUGUUCCACCAAACCUUUUGUAAAUUUCAUACAUCAAUAAAAUUACUUCUUAUAGGGGUGGGGGGGAAGAAACUAUGUUUUAGAGACAGAUGGCUCUAAAGCACACAAACACUCUCCAUCUCACUAUCUAUCUGCCUUGUAUCCAAUUUAAUCUAGCAUUCAUUUGGGGUAUUGUAGGUUCAUAUUAAAAAAUAGUCAUUCAUGUUGUGAUGUAAAGACCCUUUUAUGUAUCUAAAACUAAAAUCACGAAAAUCAUCGUGGACAUGCAGCACAACAAACUGAAUUUCCAUGGGAAGCCUUUGCUAACAAGAUGGUAGACAAUAAUUACUCAGACAAGAGAGAAGGACUAUAAUUAAUUAACAGAAGUACAAAUCAAUAUAGGUGCACAACCACCAAGCACCCAACAAAAGGAACACUAAACUUCAAUAACAAAAGAAAUGUAGUAUCCGGACUAUCCUUACCUUGUUAUCGAAGAAGAUACCUUGGCUCUGGUAAGCCCGAUGCUCUGCCUUACAACAUUCAAUUACCUCAGUACUGUAGUGUUUCUUCAAAGUUUGGGAAUCUACCUAAAACAUAAAAUAUAUAUUACAACUUGAAAACCUCCAUGUCAGAAACUUUACUUUAAUUAUCAAACCAGAUGCUAUGCAAGAAUUAGUUAUCAGAAACAACAUAAAUAGUAAUGAUAUUCUUUGGGGAGGGAUAAAAGCAUCUUUCAUCUUAGAAAUAAGCUUAGCAGUUAGCACUAACCUUUAUAUAAGAAGUUAACACCGUUUGAUUACUUCAUAAACUUCAGCUACGAAAUCUGGUAAAGAGAAAGACCUAAUCCAUAAUGUUAAAGAGGAAAAGACCAAGUCAGAUUCCUUUAUUCAAACAGGUUAGUAUCACACUCCAAAGGAAAAAACUUACGGACCUCUACGACGAAUUUCCUUGAAUGAUGUAGCAGCACCUGUUCUUGAAACACAGUUUCAUUUAUGCUGUGAAAAAUAAGAUGAUAAAUAAAACUUUGGCUACAAUUAGCCACAUAAACAUAAAGUUGUGACAGAAAACAAAAGCUAACAGAUAAUUAACUAUACAGUUUGUAGGCAAAAUACCAAAUAGCCCAUAAUCAAGAUCACAACUGAAGAAACAAUAAUGUGUAGUUUAUCAUUUCCAACCAAAUAAUUCAAUAAUAAAUAAGGUCAAAUGGCAAAUAAUAUGUCCUUUCACAUAAAUAUUUACUCCUGAAUUUUUUGAAGGAUAAUGUUAUCGCUUCGCUCCACGUUUCACGAAGGCCCUCAGCCAUCUGCCAAUUCCAAUAUAAAAAUUCUUUUACAUAUUAUAUUUUUUUACAUAUUCUAUUGAAGAAUCUCAUUUGAGCAUUUUGUGGUCAAUUUGACUUGAAAUAAACGACAUAACUUUCAAUAAGAAAAAGCAAGAUGCCCAGUUGUUUUUAACUGCUAUUUUCUCUCUCUUUUUUUUUUUUUUUUUUUUGCUUUAACUUGCUGUAAAUUGGAGAUGUUUUCCAUAACUACUUCGGCUUAUGUAAUUUACCUUCUCCCUAAAUGCAACCAUAAAUCAAACAAACUAGAUGAAUAAAUUUACACCACAGAAAUCCAUCCUAUGAAGACUACAUCGGAGAAAGAUGGGAUAAGGAUAAAGCAUAGGAAGAACAAAUACCCCAUGGGAAAUAAACUGAUAAAAAAUACUUUGUCUUGAGAGUAAUAUAUCCCGGACCAAUUUUCUGCUCUGCCAGCCAUUAAGAUUUACCCACUGAAACUCUGCACACAAAUAUUUUCUUAUAAACAAUAAUUAAUACAAUCUAAUUGGUAUCUUAUGGAUAUCAAAGACAACAUGGAUCCAUAUUUUCCUGAAUGAAGUAAGAAUUUAACACAUGAUUCAAGUUUAGAGGAAUGUUGUGAUGUUAAAAGAAAGUAAAGUUAUUACUACAAGACCUUAAGUAAAAAAAAUAAAAGUAUCUCCAUGAAACCACAAAUAUUCGAUUUAAAUGUAGUUAUAUAGGUGAGGUAAAGCUACUUCAAAUCUUUAAACUAUAAUGUAUUGUAAAUAACCGACAGAAAGUUGAAUACAAUAAAUUAAUAAUCAAAGAAAAAUUUUGGAUUUUGUGGUCAAAUUCUACCUUUUAGAACCCUAAAAUUGGAAGGAUUUCAAAUUAGUCUACGAACAAAGAAUUUGGAAGCAUUUGUGAUCCACUAAGGAGCUCUCUCGGGCAUCCUUGGGCAUCCUUGGGUAUUUGUGAUCCAUUGUGAUCAUCAUCCAUAGUAGUCAUCCAAGCCAGCAAGGGAAAGACCACGACGCGCAGUGGAAUAGGAAAAGGAGCGUCGAGCACAACUUUCGUGUCACCAGCAAUCCUUUUUCCUUUAUUGGUAGACCGAAAAAGGCUUUGUCAAGCAGACAGGCAUGAUUGUCACGUCGAUCGAUAGUUGAGAAAUCUGGCGCUGUUAGGGCUAGGAGAAGAAGAUGGUCGUGAAUCGGCGAUUUUGAGGAAGAAAGAAGAGUACAAGAAGUUUUUCAUUAGCCAUCAAUCCAGGAAAUAAAUGAAGCAUCAAGCUUGUCUAAUAAACUGACAAGGUAGAGAGGACUUAAACAAGUAAAAGGACAAAAUGAAGCAAGCUCAAGCAACAAAUUUUGUUAAGUAAACAUAAAUAUUAACUAGAGGCUUAAAUAAAAUAUUUCACCACCAUCACCACCAAACAACAACAACAAAAACAAAAAGCCCAGAUAUAUCGCCAUUGACAACAAAAACAGCAAUAUAACCACAAUAAACACAGCUGUCAUAACCGAUGCUGCAUACAGUAAAAAGGCUGCAAAAUAAAAGUCAAAGUUAUUACCAAUAUGUUGUUAAAUCAAAUGACUUGCUAAAACCUGAGAACCUAUAUGGGUACAAAUUAUAGAUUAUGAAUGAAAAAUUUUAAACAUAUCAUUCACAGAGAACCAAGUAACUGAUUCCAUAAAUUUUCAUUUCUCAAUCAGUGCUGGAACUUUCCUAUAACAAGAUGACUCCUGAGUUGUCUUCACCACCCCAGAAGAAAUAUCUAAACAGUUUCUCCAUACUUUUAAUCAUCCUGUAAGGAGCUUUGAUGAGGGAAAGGAAAUGCAAAGGCAACUCAUUGAGCAACGGAGCAAUCAAUGAUUACCAGCCACCUUUGGAAAGAAACAAAUUCUUCCAUUUAGCAAUCUUACUUCUAAUUUUGUCGACAUCCCAGAAAGCCAGAAGGCCAGAAACCAAUGCUUACCACCCAAAGGAAAGCCUAGCGAGUUAAGGGUGAGAGGUUCCAUCUUACAACCCAACUCAACCGCAAGCUUAAGACCUCCUAUCUUAUAUCAAUAUAGUAGAAGAGAAAAGAAAAAGAAUUAAUACGUGAGAAGCACGUGUGAGUUAGUUAGUAGGAGGAAGGAGAGACUAGUAUAAAUAGAUGAAAUAGAAAGGUGGGAAAGUUAGUUAGAGAUUCAAGUAAAGAGUUCCUUUCAGGUCCCUUGAAAGAUAGGUUGCAGAAGGUAUGAGUGUUAGCUUGUAUUUGGGAAUUCAUUCCCUUGCUACUAUCAAUGAAAUUCCUACUUUAAUACCAAUUGGAGUUCCAUCAAACACCUUAUGCUCCUUCAUAUUAAUCCAAAUUAGGAAGAAAUUCGCCAUAUUCAAAUUAAAGAAUGAACAUCCCCUGGACAAAAAAACAAAAUGUCAUCAGCAUACUGAAGAUGAAGGAUAGCCACCUUUUUUCUACUGAUCUCCCAACCUUCAAGAGCUUAUUUCUCCAUAUAGAAGUAAACUAAUCUGUUGAAAGCAUCACCACGGAGGGUAAAAAGGAAUGGGGACAGGGGGUCUCCUUGUCUUAGAUCCCUUUGACUAAUGUCACCCAUAUAUUGUGAGCUUUUGCAUUUAAGAUGCAUACGGCUAAAGAGAUGAAGUAAACAAUAUUUUACUACCAUGUGGAGACAGCAAGUAAGACUCUAUCAAUUAAUAGGGAAGUUCCAAUGCUUCUUAUUACCCUGGUGAAGAAAAAAAAAGGAGUUGUCCACAGUUCUCUGCUUUUUCACAGACUGCAAACACUAGAAUGCAGGUAAUCACGAGGUUUCACGUCUCAACUACUACUGUUUGACUGUUGUAUCAAUAGUACCGAGUGCCCAAUUUCAAACAAAAAAUUUAACCUUUUCAAGAACUUUGAAACUCCAAAUUGCUUCAUCCAACUAACAAAACUAAAGUAAGCCCUAACUGACGAAAAAAAGAAAGGAUAUGUACAAGUUGUGAAAGGGCUUAAAAGGACAAAAGCUUAUUCUCAAAUUUCAGUACAUAUACUCAUCAAAAUUCAAAAUCUCACGUCACAAACCCGAGCUUAGUGCUCAAGGGUUGAUAGUCAUGCCUUUUAUGCAAGAUUUAAGAAGCUAUAAUGCUCAUUGUUGUAAUGAAAAACUUCUGAAAUUUUUUGAAAUUUGGGCAAAAUUUGAAAUCCCCCAAGUUUAGACAAAACAAGCGAGCUAUUAUCCACCCUCCGCUUAAAAAAUUGCUUCGUCCUUAAAGCUUUUGAAAAUCAAAGUAAAGGGAGAAAAAUAAGGGGGGGAACGGUGGACUCCCCUAGAAGGAUCAACAUCCUUGACUUUGGUUUGAAGCUUGCAUGGAUAAGCCUCUUCAUUCCUUUUUCAUAACUUUAUGACUUCAUAUGGCAGUGUUGUAUAAUAUACAAAUCCAUAAUAAAAUAAACACCAUUUACAGUAGAGCCAAGAAAAAUGAAGAUUGUAUAUAAUGUACUGCAAUAAAAUUAAAAUACUAAAGAAUGUGUUAAGGUGUGAGCGUAAGCAAAAAGUAAAAUCAAUGGCUAAAGAAGAGAAAAAUUGAAAGACUUCAACAAAAUAUGUAACCUGUAAGUUGCUAAUUCUUUUUCUUUUUCCCCGCAGAAGAUCAUCCUUGACCCAAGCCAGUGAAGAAAUUAUAGAAUAAAAGGGUUAGUGAAGAAAAAAACAAAUCAUUUAAAAACAUUCUUAUGCAAGUAAAUAAAGCAUGAGGAAAAAAACAACAGACUACUUCGUUGUCUAAUGUAAUUGAUUGCAAUUCUCUAUCUUUAUCUUCUAUUCUCCUUUCCAGUUCGUGAAUAGGUGGUCUCUUUCACAUAGUUGUUCCUGUACAGCCACAAACUUGAAUUUGAUUCUUCACACUAUCCCUCCUCUUCAAGAACAAAAAAACAUGAAGCAAUUGGCAUUAGAAAAAGUGCAUACUUGAAACAUUUGAAGGCCCACCAGGCAGGCACAUAAGCACUAGGUGGUAACCAAAGAAACAAAAAGCAGAGAGAGAGAGAGAGAGAGAUAUCAGUUUCAAAUUCAAACAAAAUAAUGGUUCACCUUCACAUAAGUAAUGUGAUAGACCACCAAUUAUUUUACAAUAUAGUAGGAGGAAAAAGGGAGCAGUUGCACGUGAAUAAGAGAAGGGAAAUGGAGAGAAGUGGAAAAAGAAGUGGAAACCACCUUGGUGGGGACCAAGGUUAGUUACAUGGGAGAUAGUUAAAAGGGAAAGAAUGGAGGGAAGAGAGGGGUGGUUAGUCGGUUUCUGGAAGUGGAGGGCUGUAAUUUCCUGGAGAGCAGGGAAUGCAGAAAGUGUUCAGUUUCUGUAGUCUGGAGCAAGUUAUUUCCAUUAUCGUGAAGUACUUUACUGUUUUGAUGUUUUAUGUUGAACUUGGUUUAUCCUUGUAUUAGUUCUUGUGUUGUACUUUGUUUUCAAGACUGUGUUAGAACCUGUUUUCUGUCAAAGUUUGGCUGAUUAAUAAAUUAGUAGAAAACACUAUUUGGUGUUCUAUCAUUUUGGCAUCAGAGAAAUCGAAUAUGUGAAGUUCUAUAUCAUGGCUCAAAAGCCAAUUGAGGAAAAGUUGGAAAUUGUAGAUCAAGAAAUAUCCAGCAUUCGAGCAGAAUUACAUGAUCUGCCAACAAUCAAGGAAAACAUGUCAUCUUUGGCAAAGAGUAGUGAGAGGUUAGGAGUACAGGCCGAGAAGCUACAACAUCAACCAGAAACACUGUUGAAAUAUAUUGAAGGAAUGAUCAAAGGGAAGACAACGAUGGAAGAAGAACUAGAAGGAUCAUCAAGUAAAGUUGACAGCAUGGUUGAUGUCAGUGAUUCAACGACGAUGGGGGGAAAAUCUGAGGAAAAACAUACCAAGUUGGAGGGUGAAGAUUCUGCGGACGACCGAAGCAAAUUUUAAAAAAUUGAAAUGCUAGUUUUUGUGGGAAAUGAUCCUGAUUCUUGGUUGUUUAGGGCUGAGAGAUACUUUCAGAUACACAAACGGAGUGAGUCAGAGAAAAUGACUGUGUCCAUUAUUAGUUUUGAUGGAGUAGCUUUGGAUUGGUAUAAAUCUCAUGAAGAUCGUGAACCGUUUGUUAAUUGGGACGAUUUAAAGAAGAGUCUUAUUGUUUGAUUUUGAUUUGGUCGUGAGGGAUCAAUUCUGGGAAGAUUUUUAAAGAUCAAGAAAGAAACUACAAUGGAAGAAUAUGAAAAUUUAUUUGAUAAAUCAAUAGCACCAUUGCCUUUUCUACAAAAGGCUGUCUUAGAAGAAACAUUUAUGAAUGGUUUGAAACCAUGGAUUAAGGCAGAUAUGGAAUGUUGGGAACCUAUGGGGCUUGCUCAAAUGAUGAAGUUGGCCCAAAAGAUUAAAUACCGAGAAGUGAUAAGGGGAGAAUCAAGUUUCAAACGUGCAGCAGAUGGAAAACUUCAGGUUUCUGCUUCUUUUAAACCUUAAAUUCUCGUGAUUUCUAAUGAUAAUAAGCCAGGAGGGAUUGUUCCAAUGCGGACGAUUCCACUUCGAGGAGUGGCUGGUGAACCUAAUCGAUGAGAAGGACCACUAAAAUGACUUUCUGAUGCUGAAUUUCAGGCUAGACGUGAGAAAGGUCUCUGUCGUUGUGAGGAAAGAUUUUUUGUGGGCCAUAAGUGUAAAGUGAAAGAUCAUAAGGAACUUAGAGUUUUAGUUGUUGGGGAAAAUGGGGAAAAACUAGAAGUAGUUGAAGAACAGGAUUCAAAAACGGAAAUACAGGGACUGAAGUUGUUAAACAAGAAGAACUCGUGAUCGAAUUAUCAAUAAAUUCGGUGGUGAGAUUAACAAACCCUGGAACUAUGAAAAUUAAAGGUAUGAUUCGAGAAAGGUCAGUAGUAGUAUUGAUAGAUUGCGGCGCGACCCAUAAUUUUAUAUCUGAAAAUUUAGUAACUCAAUUGUUGUUGUCGUUGGAGGAAACUUCUCAUUAUGGGGUUAUUUCGGGGUCUGAAUCUACUGUAAAAGGGAAGGGAAUUUGUAAACAAGUGGAACUGCUAUUGGGUGAAUGGAAGGUUGUGGAUAAUUUUCUGCCAUUGGAAUUGGGGGGGAGUGGAUGUCAUUCUUGGUAUGCAAUGGCUACAUACAUUAGGAGUAACCGAAGUAGAUUGGCGAAAACUUACUUUGACAUCAUACAAAAUGGGAAGAAGGUUGUAUUAAGGGGAGAUCCGAGUCUUAAGAAGGAUAGGGUGAGUUUGAAGCACAUGAUGAAGACAUGGACAGAACUUGAUUAGGGAUUUCUGACUGAGUGUAGAUAUUUCGAAGGUGGAAUGGCAUUUGCAGCGUUGUAUGGGGUUGAUGAAUUGUCUACCAUUCAUGAGUCUAUUCCAGCCGUGUUAGCUAAGUAUGAAGAUGUUUUUUAUUGGCCUAGAGAGUUGCCACCACAACGUACCAUUGAAGAUCAUAUACAUCUUAAGAAGGGGACUAAUUCAGUCAAUGUUCGGCCUUAUAGAUAUGCAUACCAGCAAAAGGAUGAGAUGGAAAGAUUGGUUGAUGAAAUGAUGGCAUUUGGCAUAAAAACCUAGUACUAGUCCAUAUUCGAGCCCGGUCUUGUUGGUGAAAAAAAAUGGUAGUUGGCGGUUUUGUGUAGAUUACCGUGCGUUGAAUAGUGUGACCGUUCCAGACAAGUUUCCUAUUCCAGUAGUAGAGGAAUUGUUUGAUGAACUUAAUGGGGCUAAUAUAUUUUCGAAGAUUGAUCUCAAGGUGGGAUAUCAUCAAAUUAGAAUGUGUAAAAAGGAUGUGAAGAAAACAGCUUUUAGAACUCACGAGGGGCAUUAUGAGUUUCUUGUCAUGCCUUUUGGGCUCACCAAUGCACCAUCAACAUUUCAAGCUUUGAUGAAUAGUAUCUUUAAACCUUACCUACGCAGGUUUGUCUUAGUCUUUUUUUAUGAUAUUUUAAUUUACAGCAGAAGUUUGGAUGAAAAUCUUCAACAUUUAAAAUGGGUGUUAAAGGUGCUGCGACAGAAUAAAUUAUAUGCUAAUAUGCACAAGUGUGGGUUUGCCAAAGUGAAAGUGGAGUAUCUUGGCCAUAUAAUUUCGGGCAAGGGUGUAGAGGUUGAUCCCAAGAAAAUUAUAUCUAUCAAAGAAUGGCCCGUGCCCUCUAAUGUCCGUGAAGUUCGUGGAUUUCUUGGGUUGACAGGAUAUUAUCGAAGAUUUGUAAUGAAUUAUGGAAGUGUGGCUGCUCCUUUGACUCAAUUAUUGAAGAAAUGAGCUUAUGAAUGGACUGUUGCAGCUGCUGAAACUUUUGAGAAUUUAAAGAUGGCUACAAUGACUCUCCCAAUCUUAGCACUGCCAGAUUUUUCCUUACCAUUUGAAAUAGAGACCGAUGCUUCUGGAUACGGGGUAGGUGCUGUCUUAAUUCAAAAUCAUCGGCCAAUUGCUUAUUUUAGCCAGACAUUAGCUAUGAGGGAUCGUGUUAAACCAGUUUAUGAACGGAAAUUAAUGGUUGUAGUUUUGGCUGUGCAACGUUGUAGACCUUAUCUUUUGGGCAGGAGGUUUGUACUGAAAACUGAUCAACGAUCAUUGAAACUUUUAUUGGAACAAAGGGUGGAUUGCUAAGCUUCUUGGCUACAAUUUUGAUGUCGUGUAUAAACCGGGACUAGAAAACAAAGCAGCAGAUGCCUUGUCUCGUGUCCCUCCUACUGCCCAACUUAAUCAACUUACUGUUGAGAUCAGUUAAAUUGGCAGUCCCCAACACUGAAGUUGACCCUAAAUUAGUCCCAGAAAUUAAUGGGAUGGAUCUGAAUGUCUUGUUCAAUGAUGAAGAUAUUCUCCCUAUUAAAAUUCCCUUGGAUUUGCCUAAAGAUUUAGUGUCUAUAGUCGAUGAUUGUGGAAUCAUUCUGGCUUAAAUUAGAUGUGCAACUGCCUUUUCCUCCUCCUAGUCAUUAUUAAGGUUGUCUCCUGGAACAUUAAGGGUUUGAACGACUCCUCUAAACGUGCAGCACUUAAAAAAUUCAUCAACAAUUGUAGUCAUGAUUCAAGAAUCUAAGAAGGAUACCUUGAACUCAGCUUUUAUAAAAUCAUUGUGGAGUUCUAAGGAUAUUGCCUGGAAUUAUGUGGUUUCUGUUGGAUCUUCUGGGGGAAUUCUUACCAUGUGGGACAGCAGUAAAAUAUCUGUAACAGAGGUCAUUAAAAGACGCUUCUCUUUGUCAAUCAAAUGCCUCACUUUGUGCAAAAAGGUUUGUUGGAUCACAAAUGUCUAUGGCCCUUGUGGUUGCAGAGAAAGGAAAUUGGUUUGGCCCGAAUUGUCUUCCUUAGCUGAUUGUUCGGUCGUGGCCUGGUGCAUAGGUGGGGAUUUUAAUAUCACUCGUUGGGCCCGGGAAAGAUUUCCUUUUGGCAAAAGGACUAGAGGAAUGUCAUUAUUCAAUAUGUUUAUUGACAUGGUUUCUCUCAUGGAAAUUCCAUUGCAAAAUGGAAGGUUCACUUGGUCUAGAGACGGUAAUUCUCCUUUAAGAUCAUUAUUAUACAGAUUCUUCAUAAAUCAGAUGUGGGAUGUUUGUUUUGAAAAUUCUCGAGUUUCUCGAAAAGCACGCAUCUUCUCGGAUCACUUUCCUUUAUUCUUGGAGGCUGGUUCUUUUCUUUGGGGUCCCUCACCUUUUUCGUUUUGUAACAGCUGGUUGGUGUCCAGUGAUUCUAAUCAGAUUAUUGUUGAAACAGUGAGCAACUCUAACUUCCAGGGAUGGGCUGGUUUCAUUCUUCAUGAGCAGUUGAGAUCAAUUAAAUUGGCAGUAAAAGCUUGGAAUAUUGCUGCACAAGGUAAGGUAAAAAAAAAAUAGAGAAAUCCUUGAUGUCAAAAUUAGAAAAAUAUGAUUCUGUGGCUGAGUUGAUUGGAUUAAAUAAAUAAGAGUUGAAUUCUAGAGCUGCUUUGCAAGCGAAAUUACUUAGUAUUUAUCAAAAUGAAGAGCGAAAUUUUAUUCAGAAGAGUAAACUCAAUUGGCUUUCUUUGGGUGAUGAGAAUACGGGCUUCUUCCACCGCUUUCUAAAUGCGAAAAAAAGAAGGAACCUCAUAACUGAAUUAAAAGAUGAUGAUGGGGUUGUCUCGACUUCAUUCCGCGACAAUGAAAGGCUGGUGCUGGAAUUUUUUGAGUCACUUUAUACUAGAAUUCCGGGGGACAGAUUCAUCCCUAUUAACAGUAAUUGGUCUUGUGUUUCCUCAAUUCAGAAUGAGGCUCUUGUUGCCCAGUUUUCAAUGGAGGAGAUCUUUAAGGCAUUAAAGGCACUUGGCAACAAUAAAGCUCUGGGCCCGGAUGGCUUCACAGUGAAGUUCCUAAUCACCCAAUGGUCUAUUUUCAAGGAUAUGUUCAAAUCACUAAUGUCUGAUUUCCACAUAAAUGGACGAUUAAAUGCUUGCAUCCAAGAAAACUUCAUUUGUUUAGUGCAGAAAAAAGAGAAUGUGACUCUAGUCAAGGAUUUCCGUCCAAUCAGCCUUACUACGUUAGCAUACAAGGUCGUUGCAAAGGUUUUAUCUGAACGUCUAAAACAAGUUAUGGAUGCAAUUAUAAGCCCCACUCAAAGCGCCUUUAUUGAAGGUAGGCAAAUUCUUGACCCAAUAUUAAUUGCUAACAAGGCCGUGGAAGAUUAUAGGGCAAAACGGAAAAAAGGAUGGAUUUUAAAACAUGACUUGGAAAAAGCCUUUGAUAGGGUGAAUUGGAACUUUUUAGAAAAAAAAUUAUCUUUGAAAAAGUUUAGUUCCAAAUGGAUAUCAUGGAUAAUGGGCUGCCUCAAAAACCCAAAGUAUUCAGUCUUCAUCAAUGGUAAGCCUAGAGGCCGGAUAACAGCAUCUAGAGGUAUCCGCCAAGGGGACCCCCUCUCCCCCUUUUUAUUCCUCCUAGUAAGUGAGGUUUUAGGAGAAAUCAUAAACAAGCUUCAUAUUAACAGCCAGUUUGAAGGUUUCCUUGUUGGCAAAGACUUGAUCCACCUCCCUUUGCUUCAAUUUGUCGAUGAUACUCUUCUCUUUUGUAAGUAUGAUGUGAAGAUGCUCAUUAAACUUUAAAACGUCAUUAGAUUAUUCGAAUGGUGUUUGGGGCAGAAAGUAAACUGGGAAAAAUCAGCCCUUAGCGGCGUUAAUGUGGGAGAGGAAGAUUUGUUUCAAACAACAAAUCUGAUAGGGUGCAAGGUAGAAAAGCUUCUGAUUAUAUAUUUAGGUCUCCCUUUGGGAGGCUACCCUCGACAAAAGUCUUUUUGGCAACCAGUCAUUGAUCGAAUUCACAAGAAACUUGAAAGGUGGAAAAGAUAUAACAUCUCUAGAGGCGGAAGACAAACCUUAUGCAACUCAGUUUUGGUUAGCCUUCCUACAUACUACCUACUUUAUUUUCUAUACCUGAAAAAUGUGGCUGCCUAUUUGUUAAAGUGAGUUUUUGGAGUGAAGGAAAAGGUCUGCAAUACUCCUUGAAAGACUGGGGAAGCAGAAGAUUGGUGUUCUAUAUUCUGGUUUGCUUAUUAGUAUUUUGUUGUUUAGAAUUUUGGAUUAGGAGGUUUUCUUUGUUUGAUGUUUGUGAAUUAUAUGUAACGUGACUCAUUUUCUGAGGUUCACGAUUUGCUUAUGUUGUAAGUUGUGUUUGAAUUAUCAAUAUAAUAGAAACACUACAUUAGUGUUCUAUCAAGAUGUCAUCCUUGGAAUGCAAUGGCUGCACACGUUAGGGUAACUGAAGUGGAUUGGCGGAAACUCACUUUAACUUUCAUACAAAAUGAAAAGAAUGUUGUUAUAAGGGGUGACCCGAGUUUGACAAAGACUAGAGUGAGUCUGUAACACAUGAUGGAGACAUGGACACCAUCUGAUUAAGGUUUCUUGACAAAAUGUCGAGCUAUGGAGGGAGGAAUGACAUUUACCGAACUAUAUGGAAUUGAUGAUGUUCCUACAUUUCAAGAGUUACUACCAGCAGACAAUUUUGGCUAUCCUAAAAAUCCAGCAACAAAGAAGUGGGAAGUGCUUGUUAGUUGGAAAGGAAUACCACCUCAUGAGGCUACAUGGGAGAAUUGUGAUGAUUUUACACAAAAGCUUCCUCAUUUCCCACCUUGAGAACAAGGUGUCUUUGGAGAGGGAGAGUAAUGAUAGACCACCAAUUGCAAUACAAUAUAGCAGAAGAAAGACAAGUGGAAUUGCAUGUGCACAGGUGAUGGAAUUGGAGGAAGUGGAAACCACCUUAGUGGGGACAAUAGUUAGUUACAGGAGGGAGGUUAAAAGGGAGAGAUGGAAGGAAAGAUGGGGGUUGGUUAAUCAGUUUCUGGAAGUGGAGGGGCUGUAUUUUCUGGAGAGCAGAAUUACAGAAGUUGUUCAGUUACUUUAAUCUUAGAAAGUGUUUUCCAUUAUCGUAAACUACUUUUGAUGUUUGAAUGUUUUAUUUUGUACUUGGUUAUUGUCUGUAAUAGUACUUGUUUGUUCUGUGUUUUCAAGACUGGUUUGAGUAUUGUAUUCUGUAAUAGUUUGGUUGCUUAAUGAACAAAUAAGAACCAUUACUUGGUGUUCUAUCAGCUUCUCAAUCAAGCAUUCACAUCUCAAUAAGGUAUUAUACAUGCAAUCAAACAAUCACAACAUACAUACCAUUUACUCAAAACGACCUAAAACAUGCUCAAAACGACCUAAAACGUGCUCAAAACGUGUCUAACUUUCACUGCAACUUUCAAAACGACCUAAAACAGCUUACGUGCAGGUUUGUAACUCAUAACCUACGAAAAAAGUUCAAAUAUUGUGAAAAAAGCACUCAAGACCCAAAAUGGCAACCAAGUGUGUAAGUGCAACAAAUUUAGUGCAAACCAACCUAAAACGUGCUUAAAAUGUGUCUAUGUAUUACUUGAGUUUACAAAACGACCAAGCAAAUCCUAAGUGUAAGUUCGUAACUCACAACCAUGUGUGUAAGUGCAACAAACUCAAUCUAACCUAAAAUGUAUUCAAAACGUGUUUAAGUAUCACUUGAAUUUUCCAAACGACCCAGCAAUGCUUUAUUGGUUUCUUUUUAAACAAAAUAUUUUGAAAAGAAAUAUUAUUAUAUUAUUAUUUGUAUUGUGUCUAACGACUAAUUAAGUUUAAAUCUCAACCAUUCAUUUUUCUUUUACUUAUAUCUAAUGAUCCAAAAUGAUUUUGAAUUUAUCUUUCCUCUCUUUUUAAAUACUUCACUUUUCUCAAAUUUUAAAAGACAAGAUCAUUAAAUCUUUACAAUCCUCAAGCAAAAAGCCAACAUUGUUAUUCUCUCUAAAGCUUCCAAUUUUUAUUCUUUUCAUCUUAUUCUUGAGAGCUUCUUAUUGUAUUGUGAGGAUUAAAUUUGUGAGCUUCAAAUUGUAUACUCACUCUUUUAGAGAGUUUUCUUUUGUGUGAUUUAAAAACUUCAACAUAUUGUAACGGUUGGAUCCUAACCCGUGGAAAGGAUCGGGUUUACUCUUGAACCCGAAAAAGAAGCAAGAAUCGGUUCGGCUCAAAUCCGUGGAAAGAGUCCAAAGAAGAUUUUCAAUCAAAAUCCCAAGAGGUGCUUGGGAAAGUGGAUGUAGGUUGAGUUUAACCGAACCACUAUAAAAUUACGGUGUUUUCUUCUCUAACUCUUUUCUAGUUAUUUUUUAAUUCAAUUUUAGUUACAUAUUCUUAUUGGUUGAGUUUGACUGCAUACUUCAAUUCAUAUCUUUUUAUCAAUCUUGUUAUUUAACAAAGUUUACAAAGUUCUUUAUUUAAAUUAAAAAAAUAUCUCAUUAGUUGAUUUUACUUUUUAUUUGUCAAAAAGUUUAUUUAAACCCUAUUCAACCCCCUCUAGGGUUGCCAUACCGAUCCAACAAUUGGUAUCAGAGCAAGGUUGCUCAUCUUGAAAUUUUAAUUUCUUGAUAAACUUUAUUGUUAGAGCAUUAUGGCAAACAUAUUGGCAAAUGGGAUUGUUGAAGGUCAAUCUACUUCUAGACCUCCUUAUUUUGAUGGUUCAAAUUAUGCAUAUUGGAAAGCUAGAAUGAAAAUUUAUUUGCAAUCUAUUGACUAUAAUUUGUGGUUAAUUGUUGCUAAAGGUCCUUAUGUACCCAUGAAAAAUGUUGAUAAUGUUGAUACGCCUAAAUUAGAAGAAGAGUAUGAUGAAAAUGAAAUGAAAAAGUGUUCUUUUAAUGCUAAGGCUAUUAAUUGUUUGUAUUGUGCCUUGAGUAAAGAUGAAUUUAAUAGAAUAUCCAUGUGUUCUUCCGCUCAAGAAAUUUGAAAUACUCUUGAAAUUACUCAUGAAGGAACAAAUCAAGUUAAAGAGUCUAAAAUUAGCAUGUUUGUUCAUAAUUAUGAAUUGUUUAAGAUGGAUGCUAAUGAGACUAUCACCGAUAUGUUUACUAGAUUUACUAACAUCAUAAAUGCUUUGAAGGGUCUUGGUAAAGUUUAUACAACUUUCGAAAAUGUUAGAAAAAUUCUAAGGUCUCUACCUAAGACUUGGGAAGCUAAGGUAACGGCAAUUCAAGAAGCAAAGGAUCUCACCAAACUUCCACUAGAGGAGCUUAUUGGCUCACUCAUGACUCAUGAGAUCAUCAUGAAGGAGCACUUGGAGGAUGAGUCCAAAAAGAAGAAGAGCAUUGCAUUAAAGACUAUCUCCUUGGAAGUUGAUCCCGAAGAUGAGGAUGGCCUUGAUGAAGAUGACAUUGCUUAUUUCUCACGUAAGUACAAAAAUUUCAUAAAAAGAAAGAAAUAUUUCAAGAAACACCUAUCAACCCAAAAAGAGUCAAAAGGUGAGAAAAGCAAAAAGGAUGAGGUGAUUUGUUAUGAAUGCAAAAGAUCGGGUCAUAUAAGAACGGAUUGUCCUCUCCUCAAAUCAUCUAAGAAAUCCAAGAAGAAGGCAAUGAAGGCUACAUGGGAUGAUAGUAGUGAAAGUGAAAGUGAAGUUGAAGAAAUGGCAAAUCUUGGUCUCAUGGCUCAUAGUGACAAAGAUGAUGAACAUGAUGAUAAGGUAACUCUAGAACCUCUUUCUAUCGAUGAAUUAUUUGAAAAUUUUGAAAGCAUGCAAAAUGACCUAGAAAAACUUAGUUCUAAGUAUGUUGUGCUUAAGAAGAAAUACAAUGUUUUAAUUAGUGAAAAUAAGUCUUUACUUGAUACAAUUGCUUGCUUUAAAGAGAAUGAAAAUGUUGAGCAAAUUGAAGAAUUGAAUGUCUCUAGUGAUAAGCAUGUUUGUAUUGAGAAAGAUGCUUUGCUUGAUAAAGUUAGAUUUCUUGAGCAUGAUAGUUGUGAAAAAGAUAACUUGAUUAAAGUGCUUAAAGAAAAUGAACUAAGUGUUUUACAAGAACUUGAUAAAGCUAAAGAAACUAUUAAAAAGUUGACAAUAGGUGCUCAAAGAUUGGACAAAAUUAUUGAAGUAGGAAAAUCUUAUGGUGAUAAGAGAGGUUUAGGCUAUAUUGAUGAAUCAUCUACUCCUUCAAGUUCUAAAACUACAUUCGUUAAAGCAUCACCUAUUGUGCCUAAGUUUAACAUGUCUAAUCAUGUGUCUAAUCAUGUUAAAUCUAGUUUUGUACCCAUAUGUCAUAAUUGUGGUGUUGAAGGUCACAUUAGACCUAAAUGCUUUAAAUUGAAGUAUGCUCAAAAUACUUAUUCAAGAAGAAAUUUUUCGCAAAGAGCAAAGUUUUACAUUGCUCCAAGGAAGAAUUUCUCCAAUAAAAGUAGAGUACAUAAAUUUGUUAUGAAAAAUAAAUCUUUGCAUAAUGUUGUUUGUUUUUCUUGUGGCAAGUAUGGACAUAAAGCUUAUUCUUGUUACCUAUCUAGAUCUAGUGCUUGUAAUGUCUAUGAAAAAAUGAAAUGGAUCCCUAAAUAUGUAAAUGCUAACAUUCUAGGACCCAAACAAGUAUGGGUACCAAAGGAUCAAACUUGAAAUUAGUUGUUUUUAGGUUUGUUUGAAAGCCUCCAAGAAAAACAAAUGGUACUUGGAUAGUGGUUGCUCAAGACACAUGACGGGAGACCGAUCCAAGCUUAUCUCUUUCUCCAAAAAGAAUGGAGGCAUGGUAACCUUUGGUGACAACAAGAAAGGUAAAAUAAUUGGUAAGGGUAAUAUAGGAAAUGAUUCAUCUACUUUGAUUGAAAAUGUUCAUUUGGUUGAUGGUUUAAAGCAUGAUUUGCUUAGUAUUAGUCAAUUGUGUGAUAAAGGAUUUAGAGUAAUAUUUGAUAAAAAAAAUUGCAUAAUUGAAAAUGUUAGUGAUAGAAAAGUUUUGUUUGUUGGAAAUAGGGAUGAAAAUGUGUACACUCUUGAUUUGAAUGAUUAUCCUAUUAUUGAUAAAUGUCUUUCGGUUUUGCAUAAUGAUUCUUGGUUAUGGCAUAGAAGACUAGGACAUGCUAGCAUGCACUUAAUUUCAAAUAUUUCUAAAAAUUGUUUGGUUAGAGGUCUUCCUAGUUUUAAAUUUGAAAAAGACAAAGUUUGUGAUGCUUGUCAAAUGGGUAAGCAAACUAAGUCCUCUUUCAAAUCUAAAAAUGUGAUCUCUACUACUAGACCCUUACAACUAUUACACAUGGACUUAUUUGGCCCUUCUAGAAUUGCUAGCUAUGGAGGAAAUUAUUAUGCUUUUGUGAUAGUUGAUGAUUUUUCUAGAUUUACUUGGGUUUUGAUGAUAAAACAUAAGGAUGAUGCUUUGAAAAGUUUUAUUAGUUUUGCAAAAAGAGUACAAAAUGAAAAAGGAUUUUUUAUUUCCAAAAUUAGGAGUGAUCACGGAGGAGAAUUUGAUAAUGAUGCUUUUAAAGCUUUUUGUGAAGAAAAUGGUUUUUCCCAUAAUUUUUCCUCUCCAAGAACUCCUCAACAAAAUGGUGUAGUUGAAAGGAAAAAUCGUACUUUGCAAGAAUUUGCUAGAUCAAUGUUGAAUGAGUAUGGUUUACCUAAAUAUUUUUGGGCGGAAGCCGUUAACACCGCUUGCUAUGUUUCAAAUAGAGUUUUAGUUAGACCCUCUUUAGAUAAAACUCCUUAUGAACUUUGGCAUGGAAAAAUUCCAAAUAUUGGGUAUUUCAAAGUUUUCGGUUGUAAAUGUUUUAUUUUGAAUAACAAAGAAAAACUUGGAAAAUUUGAUUCUAAGACGGAUGUUGGUAUUUUUCUAGGAUAUUCCUCUACUAGUAAAGCUUAUAGAGUUUUCAAUAAGAAAACUUUAGUUAUUGAGGAAUCUAUUCAUGUUGUAUUUGAUGAAUCUUGGAAUAAUGUUUCUAAUGAGUCUAUUUGUAGUGAUGAUUUAGAAAAAGAUUUUGGAGAUUUACUUGUUAAUGACAAAGGCAAAGAAAUUGUUCCAAGUAUGCAAGAUGUGAACAUCAUAGAAAAGAAAGAAGAGGGUUCUUCAUCCUUGCCUAAAGAGUGGAGAUAUGCUCUAUCCCAUCCCAAGGAUCUAAUUCUUGGCAAUCCCGAACAAGGUGUCAAAACUCGUUCUUCUCUUAAUUUAUUUAGUAAUCUUGCUUUUGUGUCUCAAAUUGAACCUAGAAGUUUUAAAGAUGCCGAAUGUGAUGAGUUUUGGAUUUUAGCUAUGCAAGAAGAAUUAAAUCAAUUUGAAAGAAACAAAGUUUGGAAAUUAGUCCCUAGGCCUUCUAAUGCAUCUAUAAUCGGAACUAAAUGGGUUUUUAGAAAUAAGAUGGAUGAAAAUGGAAAUAUCAUUAGAAAUAAAGCUAGACUUGUAGCUCAAGGUUAUUGUCAAGAAGAAGGUAUAGAUUAUGAAGAGACUUUUGCACCAGUUGCUAGAUUAGAAGCUAUUAGAAUGUUGCUUGCUUUUGCUUCUUAUAAAAAUUUCAUUUUGUAUCAAAUGGAUGUAAAAAGUGCUUUUUUAAACGGUUAUAUUGUGGAGGAAGUUUACGUAGAACAACCUCCGGGCUUUGAAAGUUUUGAUUUACCUAAUCAUGUUUAUAAGUUGAAAAAGGCUCUUUAUGGCUUAAAACAAGCUCCAAGAGCUUGGUAUGAUAGACUUAGCAAGUUUUUACUUGAGAAUGACUUUAAGAUGGGAAAAAUUGAUAAUACUCUAUUUAUUAAAGUUAAAAAUAAUGACAUGCUUAUAGUACAAAUUUAUGUGGAUGAUAUUAUAUUUGGUUCUACUAAUUCAUCUUUGUGUGAAGAAUUUUCCAAGUGUAUGCAUAAUGAGUUUGAGAUGAGUAUGAUGGGAGAACUUAGUUUCUUCCUUGGUCUUCAAAUCAAACAACUCAAGGAUGGCAUCUUCAUAAGUCAAGAAAAAUACACAAGGGAUUUGCUCAAGAAAUUCAAAUUAAAUGAAGGUAAAGUUGCAAAAACUCCUAUGAGCACUACCACUAAGCUUGACAAAGAUGAAAAAGGUAAGUGUGUGGAUAUAAAGACUUAUCGAGGUAUGAUCGGAUCUUUACUUUAUUUGACCGCUAGUAGACCCGAUAUCAUGUUUAGUGUAUGUCUUUGUGCUAGAUUUCAAUCUUGUCCUAAAGAAUCACAUUUCCAUGCCGUUAAAAGAAUACUUAAAUAUUUGCUUGGAACUAUUGAUGUUGGAUUAUGGUAUCCUAGAAAUGUUGAGUUUAAUUUGGUAGGAUAUUCCGAUGCGGACUUUGCCGGUAGUUUACUUGACCGUAAAAGUACUAGUGGGACUUGUCAAUUUCUUGGUAGUUCCUUAGUAUCUUGGUUUAGUAAAAAGCAAAAUUCGGUUGCCUUAUCCACUACCGAAGCGGAAUAUAUUGCGGUUGCUAGUUGUUGUGCACAAAUUCUUUGGAUGAAACAAACUCUUUGUGAUUUUGGAUUAAAAUUUGAUAAUGUGCCUAUAUUUUGUGAUAAUACUAGUGCCAUAAAUUUGACUAAGAAUCCUAUUCAUCAUUCUAGAACUAAGCAUAUAGAUAUUAGGCAUCACUUUAUUAGAGAGCAUGUACAAAAUGGUCAUAUUACUCUUGAGUUUGUAAGUUCCAAUAAUCAAUUAGCGGAUAUAUUUACCAAACCUUUGAGUGAAGAAAGCUUUUGUAAAAAUAGGCUUGAGCUUGGAAUUAUUCGUUGUGAUGCAUCUUGAUUUUAUAUCUUACUUGAUAUUGUUACCGUAAUGCAUAUUGAUAGGGGGAGAAUUAGACAUUGUAUAUGUGUUCCUGUUUUUUGGGAGAGCUAACUUCAUUGGUAUUGUUUUUGAUGAUUCCAAAGGGGGAGAAGUAUAAGAAAAAUAUGUUUUUAUCAAUUUGUUGCAUAAUUGUUUCUAUUGAAUAAUGCAUAUUUUUUUAGAGAAAAAAAAAUUAAUUAAGGACAAAGAAGGUUCUCUUAUCAAUUGUUUUCAAGUAUGUUCUUUGUGGUGAAAUAUAUACAUGAGCUUUAUGGUUAUACAUCUUGAUAAUAGAAUUACUUGUUGAUCAUGUGUGUUUCAAGUUAUUUUUCUUCAAUGAUUUGUCAUCAUCAAAAAGGGGGAGAUUGUUGGCUUUUUGGCCCUUAAUCUCAAAUUAAUUUAUUUUAAUUAUUCAAUUAAUUUAUGUUUUGAUGAUAACAAAUCUGAUUUUUUUUAUUGACAAUUUUAUUAAUUUGAAUAGACCAUAUCGUAGAGCUUGGAAAAAUGAUUCUAACGCCUCUUGAAUCACCCAAAUCGAAGUUCAAAUGAAGAAAAUAUUGCUAAAAGAAGCUUAACGAAAAAAUACCCGAGAUGGUGACGUGGCGACCAAGCAUUCAAUUUGAACCAAUUAGAGAAAGCCACUUGGAGCAAUGAAGGAGUAACAAAUGUGGCUUUUUGUUAUGUUUUAUUGGCUUUUAUAAAGAAAAUGAAUUUAAAAGAAAAUGAUUUUAAUAUUAUUAUUUUUUCUUGUGUCUAACGGCUAGUUUUUUUUAAAAGAGGGUGAAGUUGCUUUAUUGAUUUCUUUUUAAACAAAAUAUUUUGAAAAGACAUAUUAUUAUAUUAUUAUUUGUAUUGUGUCUAACGGCUAAUUAAGUUUAAAUCUCAACCAUUCAUUUUUCUUUUACUUAUAUCUAAUGACCCAAAAUGAUUUUGAAUUUAUCUUUCCUCUCUUUUUAAAUACUUCACUUUUCUCAAAUUUUAAAACACAAGAUCAUUAAAAUCUUUACAAUCCUCAAGCAAAAAGCCAACAUUGUUAUUCUCUCUAAAGCUUCCAAUUUUUAUUCUUUUCAUCUUAUUCUUGAGAGCUUCUUAUUGUAUUGUGAGGAUUAAAUUUGUGAGCUUCAAAUUGUAUACUCACUCUUUUAGAGAGUUUUCUUUUGUGUGAUUUAAAAAUUUCAACAUAUUGUAACGGUUGGAUCCUAACCCGUGGAAAGGAUCGGGUUUGCUCUUGAACCCGAAAAAGGAGCAAGAAUCGGUUCGGCUCAAAUCCGUGGAAAGAGUCCAAAGAAGAUUUUCAAUCAAAAUCCCAAGAGGUGCUUGGGAAAGUGGAUGUAGGUUGAGUUUAACCGAACCACUAUAAAAUUACGGUGUCUUCUUCUCUAACUCUUUUCUAAUUAUUUUUUAAUUUAAUUUUAGUUACAUAUUCUUAUUGGUUGAGUUUGAUUGCAUACUUCCAUUCAUAUCUUUUUAUCAAUCUUGUUAUUUAACAAAGUUUACAAAGUUCUUUAUUUAAAUUAAAAAAAUAUCUAAUUAGUUGAUUUUACUUUUUAUUUGUCAAAAAGUUUAUUUAAACCCUAUUCACCCCCCUCUAUUCACCCCCCUCUAGGGUUGCAACAAUUGGUAUCAGAGUAGGGUUGCUCAUCUUGAAAUUUUAAUUUCUUGAUAAACUUUAUUGGGUUCUUGGUCGUCAUAGUGGUUUUUUGAUUGCUAGUGCAUGGGAUACUAUUCAUCCUCGUAGUGUUAAGGUUCAUUGGACAAGUUUCUUGUGGGGUAUGGACUUAGUUUCUAAGUUUGAAUUCUCCCUUCGGAGUGACAACAAGCGUCGUUUUUCCCCUACUACGGAACGGGGAGGAUUCCUCCUCUUUUCAAAGCCCUCGUCAAACUCAACGCUAUUUUCCCUAAACGAGAAACCUCUUCAUUCCUUUUUCGUUGAUUAUUCAUCCUUGUUCUUCAAACCUCAAGCCUUAAAAUUGAGGCAGUAGAGGAAAUUCUCUCAAUUUACUUCAAAGGAAGGAUCAUGUUCUCUCCUACAAAGGGUGUGUUACUAAUUUUCAUAACUUUAUGACUUAAUAUGGCAGUGUUGUAUAAUGCAAAUCCAUAAUAGAUGUAACGACCCGACUUUUCUAACUAUGUCAAAAUCGUUAAUUUUGACAAAAGACCGAGUUUAAAUAAAAUUUAAAACCUGAAAAGAACGAAAUUUAUUUUGUUUGUUUGGGCCCAGUUUUAAAUUACUAAAAUUCACGUAAAAAUUUAAAACUAAAAAGUUUCAAAUCCUUGAAUACUUUAAAACCUCAAAAUUUCUAAACAGUCUCACGUUCGAAUACAAAUAUAUACAAUAAAUCACUAAGCGGAAGCAAAAUUUUAAAGUGUCCCCUGUGGCGAUCACGCUUCCUUCCUGCCCCUCGCCGGUUUGCCGCCUUUAUUACCUUUGCCUGAAAAAUUAAAAAUAAGGAGGGUGAAUAUAAAAAUACCCAGUAAGCGACCCUCUACUGGUCCCGUCAGGGAAAAAUAAAUUGUUAACAUUCUAUUGGGACACCCUGCACAGUCGCAGUCUUGUGAUCCCGUAGGAUGCACAUUUCAGUCUAACGCCCCGAGAGACGUACAUUUCAGUCUAGUGUUCUGCAGAAACACAUAUCAGUUCUAAUGCUCCCGAAGGUCGGCAUAAAAAUUGGUGAUCCCGUAGGACACCUACAAGGCAUACAUCCCAAUAAAACUAACAAUUUUUCCCCUCAAUCCAUUCUAACUAUCUUUACGAUAAUUUAUGACAUCUUUCAGUUACUUCAAAAUAUCAAGUUCUUUCACUCAACAUUCUAACAGUCAACCUAUCUCACUUAAGUUCGAAGGUCGUUGAUAACAUUUUAAUACAUCCGUCAAGUAAACCACAAAGUCACAACACCCCUCAUUUUUACCAGCGCAAACCACAGUUCAUUAUAAGACACACCCAACUGAAACAAAUUCACCAAUUCACAUCCAAAAUUUUAUACAGCACAGUCUACUAAUAUCAUCCUAUCUACAUCCACACCUGCAUGUUUAAUCCCAAGACAAUCUCCAUAUAUAUUCAACAUCAAAUCUGCGUCAAUUUAUGUAUAUGCAUAAUUUUCAGUCAUUCACAGUAUACAUUCAACAAUCCACAUCAAUCCAUUCAUAAAUAUAUGUAUAUUAUAUAUAUAUAUAUAUUAUAUAUAUAUAUAUAUAUUUCCAGUUAAACACAAUAUACACUAAACAUUUAAUCUGCAACCAAAUGUGUAUAUCAUAACCAUCAUCUUUACUAAGUUUCGAUAUAAGGAUAUCGUCCAACACAACUGAAAACUUUAGGUGAGUCCAGUAGAAAGUCCCUUACCUCAAGUUUACGGUAAAGUUCUUUAAUCGUACUAAAUCCAAUAAAUUAAAUUCCAAGUAGAAUGAAACAACAAUUCCAAUGAAGCUCACUUCGAAACAUAGAUAUCCAAGCACGACUCUCCAAUAUCACCUUAAAAUCAAGCAAUACCCAAAUCAAUUAAUCAAUUUUAAAACUUACGCUAGCCAAGAACAAUACUACUAAAUCCACAAUUUCUCCUUACCAAUGAAAUCACAACAUAACUUUGACGAUUGACAAUAAAAUAGAAUCAGCGACAAUCGAAUGAAAUUGAUGCGUGCAAAACAGAUAUGCACUACAAUAAAGAUGGACGUCAGACCCGCGACUGGGAAAACGGGGAGUUGCGCGACAGAUGAGGACUUCACGAUGCACAACUGUUGGAUGCUACACGGCUCGUAUCUGAACGACGAGCGUCGGCAAAACUAUUGGGACGGGGCUACGGGUGGGGACACGGCGUUGGGACGGGGCUACCGAUGGGGACACGGCGUUGCAGAUCUGGACAACGGCACGGAGAGACACGGCGGUUACAGGCGGAUGGGCGCGGCGGUUUAGAUUCAAAGAAGAAAGAAAUGUGGCGACUGGGUUUCAGUUUCGGUGAACGAAAUGUGACGAAAAUCACGGGCGGCUGGACUUCACGAAUGGAGACCGGUGUAGACGUAGCCGGAAGAACGAGAAGGUGAGAGGGACGUGACGCCGAUGACACCAACCGACGACGACGACGACGUUCAACUUCAAUGGAAGAUCGAGACGAUCGGCGGUCGACUGCAGAUCUGAAAGGAAAGAAAAGAAAAAGAAAAAGAAAGAUGGGGGAGGCUAUGGAGGCUAGGGUAUUGGGAUGAAGUAGGAGAAGAAGAGAAAAAAAAAAAAAGAAGGAAGAAGACGGGGAAGGGUCACGCGAGAGAGAGAAGAAGAAGAGAAAUUUUAAUUUCCUUCUUUUUUUUAUAAAUUAAUAAUUAAUAAUAAUAUUAUUAUAUUAUUAUUAUUAUAUUACCUUUUCAUCCUACACUUCUUUUCUUUCCCAAUAAUUAAAUUUCUGUUCCAAGCCUAAAGAAAUAAAAUAACACUCCACAAAAAAUUAAAAUCCUAAAAAUAGAGCAAUCUGAUUAAAAUCAAUUAGCUUAGAGUUCGGGGUUUUACAAUAGAAGAAACACAAUUUGCAAGCAUAACCAAUAAAAAUGAAGAUUGAAUAUAAUGUACUGCAAUAAAAUUAAAAUACUAAAAGAAUCUUGUGGUCCCUUCCUUUUCUUCUUUGUUUUUGAUAAAGUAACUGCAUUUAUCACACAAACAAUUAGAUAGAAGACUUAAAACACUAAUCUGCAUUAGACUAAGCUGAUAUUUUUCCUCUUUCUUUGUAAGUUAAAAACCACAUGAGUUUGACACUGAUUACUACCACCACAAGUCAUUUAACUUCUUCAACUGCCUCAUACUUUUCACACGAAACUGCGUCAUACAAAUUAACCCAUAAUAAAGAUAUCCAAAUUCCAAACCAAUCCGAUUAGUUUCUGAAAUCAGUAACUCUCAUGGAAGGAAAAACUUAGACAGACUGAUGCAGAAAUUGAGAAAUGAAAGUUUGAAAAAGAUUCUUACAUCUUUGUCUAUUAGAAAAAAAAUCGAUUUCUUGCAGUAGAAUCGUUGUUCCCUGCCAUUCUCAAAACAACCUGAAUAGCCAUGUUAAGAACAUCGAGCUCUGCACUGAAGUUGAAAGAGGAGAAAAAACAACAUGUUGAAACAAAUGAAGGUUAAACCAAAAGGAUUGAACUAUAGUUUCCAAAGUUUUCAUUUCUCUGAUAUUCACGUAAUAGUAAUAGUAAUAGUAAUAGUAAUUCCUCUUUGAAACAACCACUUUUGUUUCAACAAAGAGGACAAGGCUUAUGAUCCCUAAAUAGUUAGCAGUAUUGCUAUUUGGAGAAAAUGUUAAAGUUAAACAGCUGACAAUACCUUCCAGCCCCUACCAGUACUAUCUUUUGGUUAACAAAAUCACUCAAUGACCGCCCUUGAGCUCUCACAUUUCCCAAUAGUCCAGCGAGAGCAACACCAGCAGUUCCCUUUAUGAAAUGAAAUAAAUGAAAAUAUAUGUCCUUUUAAGUAAUUAUCAACUGCAUGAAUACAACAUGAACUACCCACUUGUAUGUCAUCGUUGAACAUGCAGAACCUCUUACGAUAACGUUGUAAUGUUUCAAAAGCCCAUUUCAUUUGAAAAUCCUCAAACUGGCAUUAUUCAAAAUCAAAUUGCGAGAAUACAAUACUGAUUACUGGCAGUGAACACAGUUAAAAAUUUGAUAUCUUAACCAAUAAACCUGAACAAUAGCUUUAGGCCAACAUGUAUGCACGACUUCCAUAAAUUCAUCAACAAUAGAUAGAUACUCUUCUCCCUCCAAUCUAGGUAUUCCUAUUCCCUGAACUCCAAGGUCACCGAGGCCAAGAAUACGACUUCCAUCUGUCAAGACAAUCACAUCAACCUGUAGUUGGAAGAAGAAAAUACAAUGAACUUCAAAUAUGGUGUUGCUGGAAAUUAAAAGGGAUAUUCAUUUUUAUUUUGCUCAAAAUCAAUGCUCUUGAGCUUUUAAUGUCCAGAGGAAUGUGAAAGUUUCCCAAUAUAUCGUGUAUGGAAUUUUAAACUUUUCAAAGAAAACAAGGGUGAUCAACAUACAAAAGCCUCCCGUGGAUAGAAAAUUAAUCAAACGAAAAUUCGAUUGUUCUCUAGCAGUUUGACUUUGUUGCCAAGGAAAUUAAGAGUGAUAAGAAGGCGAGGGAGUGACUUUGAGUGGUGGCAAUUAGACAGCCAAGCAACUACACUCAAAGUUGCAGGUCGAAUAGGCAGUAGGAAGAAACAAAGAAGAAGAAGAAGAAGAAGAAGAAAAGCUUCGUUUUCCCCUAGUGUGGAACAUGGAGGAUUCCUCCUCUUUUCAAAGCCCUCAUCAAACUCGGUGCUAUGUCUAGAACGCUAAGAGUAGGUGGUUUGGUUUUGGUUAGGCCAAAAGUAAAGUUUCCUCUCAUUUUUUAUGGCCUUUUUCUGAUGUAUAUUGCAUAUGUUGUUUGUUUUUUUUAUCUCUUAAUUGUUUCACUGUUUUACGUUUGCAAGUCUCUCUUUUCUUUCUUUGGAAUGCAAUGUGGUAACUAGGUCUUGCUACAACCGGUGGGCUAACCUUUCUAUGGUUGUACACUUAGUUUUUAAGUUUGACUACUCCCUUCAAAGUGACAACAAGUUUUGUUAAUGCCCACCAUUUUCUAAAGGGAUUUAGUCUAUUGUGGCUAAACAAGAGCCUCCUAACUCAUGUUUGACAAGACAAAUUUGUUAAAAUCAUCUCAAUUUCUAAAGAGUACCUCCUAUCCUUUUUUAACUCUAUCUAGGUUAGGUUUGGACUAAGUGCAUCAUAGGUAAGUCAGGCAAAGCAACAAAGGAAGACAAAGCUAGAAAAGUAUCCAUACUUAUUUAUUAUAUACAUGCAAUCAAGCAUUCACAACACACAUACCAUUUUCUCAAUCAUGCAUUCACAUCUCAGUAAGAUGUGGCUAAAAAGGGGCUUAAACCAAAAAAGACGGCAGCUUAUUCUCAAAUUUCAGCACAUAUAAUCAUCAACAUUCAGAAUUUUACAUCACAAACCUAAGCUUAGUGGUCAAGGGUUGCCAGUCAUGUUUUGUUUAGGGUUUAGGGUUUAGGGUUCUUGUUUUGUUUUUAUCGACUGUUAUGUUGGGUGAAGAACUCUAAGAACUUGCCGGCUUUGCUUUCUACUUGACCUAACAAUCGUAUUUUGCUUUCAAACAAUCUUAUACAAAUGUGUAUGGCCACAAGAGGGAUUUAAAAUUAAUAUAAAAAAGGCAGUAGAAUAUGGCAAAAAAGGGGGAUUAAAAUUGAGAUAAAAAAGACAACCACACAUAUUAUUAUGUACAUAAUUCACAAUAUUCAGAAAAUGAACCAAGUGUUCUACUCAUUUCUAAGCUAUCAAUAUAUGCAUUUUCAACAUAUGUAACAUAUUCAAAUAACAAAUACAAUCACAAAUCCGAGCUCCAUUCUCAUGGGUUAGGCAUACAUGCAUUUUUAUGCUAAAAAGCGAAGUAGACAUGGUACUUAUUCUAAGCAUAGAGCAUUGCAAAAGUUUCUAAAUUUUGACAUUUUUAGCGAAAUUUGCAAAAUGAAAAUUUCCCAAAGGACAUGGAAUGUGCAAGGCUACAACCUAACCCCACUUAAAAAUUUGCAUUGUCCUCAAAGCAUUUUAAGCAAGAUUCUACGGAUGGAAAAAAAAAAAGGAGAACAGAAGACCUCCCCUUGUAACCUAGUUUCUUCAUGGAAGCUUGCUUGCAAAGAUCCCAAGUUUGGUUAUAUUUCAUUUUCCUUUAUUCCUACAAAAAGAAAACAAUAAUUUCGCAUCGAAUUUUAUUAAAGAGGUUAAACUAAAAAUUUUAGAAAAAUGUGUAGAAUUGUUUAAGCUCGGUUGCAUUUUCUAAGUAUCACUUGAAUUAUUAAAAUGACCUAACAAAUAUUCAAUACAAGUUCGUAACUCAUAACCUACCAAAAAGUUCAAAAAGAUUGUUGUGGGUGUUCCACCAAACCUUUUGUAAAUUUCAUACAUCAAUAAAAUUACUUCUUAUAGGGGUGGGGGGGAAGAAACUAUGUUUUAGAGACAGAUGGCUCUAAAGCACAAACACACUCUCCAUCUCACUCUCUAUCUGCCUUGUAUCCAAUUUAAAUCCAGCAUUCAUUUGGGGUAUUGUAGGUUCAUAUUAAAAAAUAGUCAUUCAUGUUGUGAUGCAAAGACCCUUUUAUGUAUCUAAAACUAAAAUCACGAAAAUCAGCGUGGACAUGCAGCACAACAAACUGAAUUUCCAUGGGAAGCCUUUGCUAACAAGAUGGUAGACAAUAAUUACUCAAACAAGAGAGAAGGACUAUAAUUAAUUAACAGAAGUACAAAUCAAUAUAGGUGCACAACCACCAAGCACCCAACAAAAGGAACACUAAACUUCAAUAACAAAAGAAAUGUAGUAUCAGGACUAUCCUUACCUUUGUUAUCGAAGAAGAUACCUUGGCUCUAAUAAGCCCGAUGCUCUGCCUUACAACGUUCCAUUACCUCAGUAUUGCAGUGUUUCUUCAAAGUUUGGGAAUCUACCUAAAACAUAAACAUAUAUUACAACUUGAAAACCUCCAUGUCAGAAACUUCACUUUAAUUAUCAAACCAGAUGCUAUGCAAGAAUUAGUUAUCAGAAAUACAACAUAAAUAGUAAUGAUAUUCUUUGGGGAGGGUAUAAAAGCAUCUUUCACCUUAGAAAUAAGCUUAGCAGUUAGCACUAACCUUUAUAUAAGAAGUUAACACUUGUUUGAUUACUUCAUAAACUUCAGCAACGAAAUCUGGUAAAGAGAAAGACCUAAUCCACAAUGUUAAAGAGGAAAAGACCAAGUCAGAUUCCUUUAUUCAAACAGGUUAGUAUCACAGCUCCAAAGGAAAAAGCUUACGAACCUCUACGACGAAUUUCCUUGAAUGAUGUAGCAGCAUCUGGUUCUUGAAACACAAUUUCAUUUAUGCUGUGAAAAAUAAGAUCGAUAAAUAAAACUUUUGGCUUUAAUUAGCCACAUAAACAUAAAGUUCUGACAGUAAAACAAAAGCUAAUAGAUAAUUAACUAUACAGUUUGUAGGCAAAAUACCAAAUAGCCCAUAAUCAAGAUCACAACUGAAGGAAACAAUAAUGUGUAGUUUAUCAUUUCCAACCAAAUAAUUUAAUAAUAAAUAAGGUCAAAUGGCUAAAUAAUAUGGCCUUUCACAUAAAUAUUUACUCCUGAAUUUUUUGAAGGAUAAUGUUAUCGCUUCUCUCCCACGUUUCACGAAGGCCCUCAGCCAUCUGCCAAUUCCAAUAUAAAAAAAUUAUUUUACAUAUUAUAUUUUUUUUACAUAUUCCUAUUGAAGAAUCUCAUUUGAGCAUUUUGUGGUCAAUUUGACUUGAAAUAAACGACAUAACUUUCAAUAAGAAAAAAACAAGAUGCCCAGUUGUUUUUAACUGCUAUUUUUCUCUCUUUUUUUUUUUUUUUUUUUUGCUUUAACUUGCUGUAAAUUGGAGAUGUUUUCCAUAACUACUUCGGCUUAUGUAAUUUACCUUCUCCCUAAAUGCAACCAUAAAUCAAACAAACUAGAUGAAUAAAUUUACACCACAGAAAUCCAUCCUAUGAAGACUACAUCGGAGAAAGAUGGGAUAAGGAUAAAGCAUAGGAAGAACAAAUACCCCAUGGGAAGUAAACUGAUAAAAAAUACUUUGUCUUGAGAGUAAUAUAUCCCGGACCAAUUUUCUGCUCUGCCAGCCAUUAAGAUUUACCCACUGCAACUCUGCACACAAAUAUUUUCUUAUAAACAAUAAUUAACACAAUCUAAUUGGUAUCUUAUGGAUAUCAAAGACAACAUGGAUCCAUAUUUUCCUGAAUGAAGUAAGAAUUUAACACAUGAUUCAAGUUUAGAGGAAUGUUGUGAUGUUAAAAGAAAGUAAAGUUAUUACUACAAGACCUUAAGUAAAAAAAAUAAAAGUAUCUCCAUGAAACCACAAAUAUUCGAUUUAAAUGUAGUUAUAUAGGUGAGGUAAAGCUACUUCAAUAUCUUUAAACUAUAAUGCUAUUGUAAAUAACCGACAAAAAGUUGAAUACAAUAAAUUAAUAAUCAAAGAAAAAUUUUGGAUUUUGUGGUCAAAUUCUACCUUUUAGAACCCUAAAAUUGGAAGGAUUUCAAAUUAGUCUACGAACAAAGAAUUUGGAAGCAUUUGUGAUCCACUAAGGAGCUCUCCCAGGGCAUCCUUGGGUACUUAUCGAGUAGAGACUGGAAGUAGUUGUGAUCAUCGUCCAUAGUAGUCAUCCAAGCCAGCAAGGGAAAGACCACGACGCGCAGUGGAAUAGGAAAAGGAGCGUCGAGCCCAACUUUCGUGUCACCAGCAAUCCUUUUUCCUUUAUUGGUAGACCGAAAAAGGCUUUGUCAAGCAGGCAGGCAUGAUUGUCACGUCGAUCGAUAGUUGAGAAAUCUGGCGUUGUUAGGGCUAGGAGAAGAAGAUGGUCGUGAAUCGGUGAUUUUGAGGAAGACGAAGAAGAGUACAAGAAGUUUUUCAUUAGCCAUCAAUUCAGGAAAUAAAUGAAGCAUCAAGCUUGUCUAAUAAACUUGACAGGCUAGAGGAGGACUUAAACAAGUAAAAGGACAAAAUGAAGCAAGCUCAAGCAACAAAUUUUUUGUUAAGUAAACAUAAAUAUUAACUAGAGGCUUAAAUAAAAUAUUUCACCACCAUCACCACCAAAACAACCACAACAAAAACAAAAAGCCCAGAUAUAUUGCCAUUGACAACAAAAACAGAGCAAUAUAACCACAAUAAACACAGCUGUCAUAACCGAUGCUGCAUACAGUAAAAAGGCUGCAAAAUAAAAGUCAAAGUUAUUACCAAUAUGUUGUUAAAUCAAAUGACUUGCUAAAACCUGAGAACCAUAUAUGGGGUACAAAAUUAUAGAUUAUGAAUGAAAAAUUUUAAACAUAUCAUUCACAGAGAACCAAGUAACUGAUUCCAUAAAUUUUCCAUUUCUCAAUCAGUGCUGGAACUUUCCUAUAACAAGAUGACUCCCUGAGUUGUAGUCUUCACCACCCCAGAAGAAAUACCUAAACAGUUUUUCUAUACUUUUAAUCAUCCUGUAAGGAGCUUUGAUGAGGGAAAGGAAAUGCAAAGGCAACCCAUUGAGCAACGGAGCAAUCAAUGAUUACCAGCCACCUUUGGAAAGAAACAAAUUCUUCCAUUUAGCAAUCUUACUUCUAAUUUUGUCAACAUCCCAGAAAGCCAGAAACCAAUGCUUACCACCCAAAGGAAAGCCUAGCGAGUUAAGGGUGAGAGGUUCCAUCUUACAACCCAACUCAACCGCAAGCCUAGGACCUCCUAUCUUAUAUCAAUAUAGUAGAAGAGAAAAAAAAAGAAUUAAUACGUGAGAAGCACGUGUGAGUUAGUUAGUAGGAGGGAAGGAGAGACUAGUAUAAAUAGAUGAAAUAGAAAGGUGGGAAAGUUAGUUAGAGAUUCAAGUAAAGAGUACCUUUUUGUUCCCUUUAAAGAUAGGUUGCAGAAGGUAUUAGUGUUAGCUUGUAUUUGGGAAUUCAUUCCCUUGCUACUAUCAAUAAAAUUCCUACGUUAAUACCAAUUGGAGUUCCAUCAAACACCUUAUGCUCCUUCAUAUUAAUCCAAAUUAGGAAGAAAUUCGCCAUAUUCAAAUUAAAGAAUGAACAUCCCCUGGACAAAAAAAAAAAAAAAGUGUCAUCACCAUACUGAAGAUGAAGGAUAGCCACCUUUUUUCUACUGAUUUCCCAACCUUCAAGAGCUUAUUUCUCCAUAUAGAAGUAAACUAAUCUGUUGAAAGCAUCACCACGGAGGGUAAAAAGGAUGGGGACAGGGGGUCUCCUUGUCUUAGAUCCCUUUGACUCAUGUCACCCAUAUAUUGUGAGCUUUUGCAUUUAAGAUGCAGACGGCUAAAGAGAUGAAGUAAACAAUAUUUUACUACCAUGUAGAGACAGCAAGUAAGACUCUAUCGUUUAAUAGGGAUGUUCCAAUGCUUCUUAUUACCCUGGUGAAGAAAAAAAAAGGAGUUGUCAACAGUUCUCUGCUUUUUCGCAGACUGCAAACACUAGAAUGCAGGUAAUCACGAGGCUUCACGUCUCACUACUACUGUUUGACUGUUGUAUCAAUAGUACCGAGAGCCCAAUUUCAAACAAAAAAUUUAACCUUUUCAAGAACUUUGAAACUCCAAAUUGCUUCAUCCAACUAACAAAACUGAAGUAAGCCCCAACUAACGAAAAAAGAAAGGAUAUAUACAAGUUGUGAAAGGGCUUAAAAGGACAGAAGCUUAUUCUCAAAUUUCAGUACAUAUACUCAUCAAAAUUCAAAAUCUCACGUCACAAACCCGAGCUUAGUGCUCAAGGGUUGAUAGUCAUGCCUUUUAUGCAAGAUUUAAGAAGCUAUAAUGCUCAUUGUUGUAAUGAAAAACUUCUGAAAAUUUUUGAAAUUUGGGUAAAAUUUGAAAUCCCUCAAGUUUAGACAAAACGAGUGAGCUAUUAUCCACCCUCCACUUAAAAAAUUGCUUCGUCCUCAAAGCUUUUGAAAAUCAAAGUAAAGGGAGAAAAAUAAGUGGGGGGGGGGGGGGACAGUGGACUCCCCUAGAAGGAUCAACAUCCUUGACUUUGGUUUAAAGCUUGCAUGGAUAAGCCUCUUCAUUCCUUUUUCAUUGAUUAUUCAUCCUUGUUCUUCAAAGGAAAAUCUCUCAAUUUUCUUCAAAGGAAGGUUCACGUUUUCUCCUACAAAGGGUGUGUUUCUAAUUUUCAUAACUUUAUGACUUAAUAUAGCAGUGUUGUAUAAUAUACAAAUCCAUAAUAAAAUAAACACCAUUUACAGCAGAGCCAAGAAAAAUGAAGAUUGUAUAUAAUGUACUGCAAUAAAAUUAAAAUACUAAAGAAUGUGUUAGGAUGUGAGCGUAAGCAAAAAGUAAAAUCAAUGGCUAAAGAAGAGAAAAAUUGAAUGACUUCAACAAAAAAUGUAACCUGUAAGUUGCUAAUUCUUUUUCUUUUUCACGCCAGAAGAUCAUCCUUGACCCAAGCCUGUGAAGAAAUUAUAGAAUAAAAGGGUUCGUGAAGAAAAAAACAAAUAUUUAAAAACAUUCUUAUGCAAGCAAAUCAAGCAUGAGGAAAAAACCAACAGACCGCUUCGUUGUCUAAUGUAAUUGAUUGCAAUUCUCUAUCUUUAUCUUCUAUUCUCCUUUCCAGUUCAUGAAUAGGUGGUCUCUUUCACAUAGUUGUUCCUGUACAGCCACAAACUUGAAUUUGAUUCUUCACACUAUUCCUCCUCUUCAAGAACAAAAAAACAUGAAGGAAUUGGGAUUAGAAAAAGUGCAUACUUGAAACAUUUGAAGGCCCACCAGGCAGGCACAUAAGCACUAGCUGGUAACCAAAGAAACAAAAAACAGAGAGAGAGAGAGAGAGAGAUCAGUUUCAAAUUCAAACAAAAUAAUGGUUCACAUUCACACAAGUAAUGUGAUAGACCACCAAUUAUUUUACAAUAUAGUAGGAGGGAAAAGGGAGCAGUUGCACGUGAACAAGAGAAGGGAAAUAGAGAGAAGUGGAAAAAGAAGUGGAAACCACCUUGGUGGGGACCAUAGUUAGUUACAUGGGAGAGAGUUAAAAGGGAAAGAAUGGAGGGAAGAGAGGGGUGGUUAGUCUGUUUCUGGAAGUGGAGGGCUGUAAUUUCCUAGAGAGCAGGGAAUGCAGAAAGUGUUCAGUUUCUGUAGUCUGGAGCAAGUUAUAUCCAUUAUCGUGAAGUACUUUACUGUUUUGAUGUUUUAUGUUGAACAUGGUUUAUCCUUGUAUUAGUUCUUGUGUUGUACUUUGUUUUCGAGACUGUGUUAGAACCUGUUUUCUGUAAAAGUUUGGCUGAUUAAUAAAUUAGUAGAACACACUAUUUGGUGUUCUAUCAUUUUGGCAUCAAAGAAAUCGAAUAUGUGAAGUUCUAUAUCAUGGCUCAAAAGCAAAUUGAGGAAAAGUUGGAAAUGGUAGAUCAAGAAAUAUCCGGCAUUCGAGCAGAAUUAAAUGAUCUGCCAACAAUCAAGGAAAACAUGUCAUCUUUGGCGAAGAGUAUUGAGAGGUUAGGAGUACAAGCUGAGAAGCUACAACAUUAACUAGAAACACUGUUGAAAUAUAUUGAAGGAAUGAUCAAAGGGAAGACAACGAUGGAAAAAGUACUAGAAGGAUCAUCAAGUAAAGUUGAUAGCAUGGUUGAUUUUCAACGAUGAUGGGAGGAAAAUUUGAGGAAAAACAUACCAAGUUGGAGGGUGAAGAUUCUGCAGACGACCGAAGCAAAUUUUAAAAAAUUGAAACGCCAGUUUUUGUGGGAAAUGAUCCUGAUUCUUGGUUGUUUAGGGCUGAGAGAUACUUUCAGAUACACAAAUGGAGUGAGUCAGAGAAAAUGACUGUGUCCAUUAUUAGUUUUGAUGGAGCAGCUUUGGAUUGGUAUAGAUCUCAUGAAGAUCGUGAACCGUUUGUUAAUUGGGACGAUUUAAAGAAGAGACUUAUUGUCUGAUUUCGAUCGGGUCGUGAGGGAUCAAUUCUGGGAAGAUUUUUAAAGAUCAAGCAAGAAACUACAGUGGAAGAAUAUCAAAAUUUAUUUGAUAAAUCAGUAGCACCAUUGCCUAUUCUACAAAAGGCUGUCUUAGAAGAAACAUAUAUGAAUGGUUUGAAACCAUGGAUUAAGGCAGAUAUGGAAUGUUGGGAACCUAUGGGGCUUGCUCAAAUGAUGAAGUUGGCCCAAAAGAUUGAGGACCGAGAAGUGAUAAGGGGAGAAUCAAGUUUCAAACAUGCAGCGGAUGGAAAACUUCAGGUUUCUGCUUCUUUUAAACCAAAAAUUCCUGUGAUUUCUAAUGGUAAUAAGUCAGGAGGGAUUGUUCCAAUGCGGACGAUUACACUUCGAGGAGUGGCUGGUGAACCUAAUCGACGAGAAGGACCACUAAAACGACUUUCUGAUGUUGAAUUUCAGGCUAGACAUGAGAAAGGUCUCUGUUUUCGUUGUGAGGAAAGAUUUUUUGUGGGCCAUAACAUAAGUGUAAAGUGAAAGAUCAUAAGGAACUUAGAGUUUUAGUUGUUGGGGAAAAUGGGGAAGAACUAGAAGUAGUUGAAGAAGAGGAUUCAAAAACUGAAAUACAGGAGACUAAAGUUGUUAAACAAGAAGAACUCGUGAUCGAAUUAUCAAUAAAUUUGGUUGUGAGAUUAACAAACCCCGGAACUAUGAAAAUUAAAGGUAUGAUUCGAGAAAGGUCAGUAGUAGUAUUGAUAGAUUGCGACGCGACCCAUAAUUUUAUAUCUGAAAAUUUAGUAACUCAAUUGUUGUUGUCAUUGGAAGAAACUUCUCAUUAUGGGGUUAUUUUGGGGUCUGAAUCUGCUGUAAAAGGGAAGGGAAUUUGUAAACAAGUGGAACUGCUAUUGGUGAAUGGAAGGUUGUAGAUAAUUUUCUGCCAUUGGAAUUUGGGGGGGGGGGGGGGAGUGGAUGUCAUUCUUGGUAUGCAAUGGCUACAUACAUUAGGAGUAACCGAAGUAGAUUGGCGAAAACUUACUUUGACAUUCAUACAAAAUGGGAAGAAGGUUGUAUUAAGGGGAGAUUCGAGUCUUACGAAGGCUAGGGUGAGUUUGAAGCACAUGACGAAGACAAGGACAAAACUUGAUUAGGAGUAACCGAAGGACAGAACUUGAGUAUGUAGUCAUUCUUGGUAUGCAAUGGCUACAUACAUUAGGAGUAACCGAAGUAGAUUGGCGAAAACUUACUUUGACAUUCAUACAAAAUGGGAAGAAGGUUGUAUUAAGGGGAGAUUCGAGUCUUACGAAGGCUAGGGUGAGUUUGAAGCACAUGAUGAAGACAAGGACAGAACUUGAUUAGUAGUAACCGAAGGACAGAACUUGAGUAUGUAGUCAUUCUUGGUAUGCAAUGGCUACGUACAUUAGGAGUAACCGAAGUAGAUUGGCGAAAACUUACUUUGACAUUCAUACAAAAUGGGAAGAAGGUUGUAUUAAGGGGAGAUUCGAGUCUUACGAAGGCUAGGGUGAGUUUGAAGCACAUGAUGAAGACAAGGACAUAACUUGAUUAGGGAUUUCUGAUUGAGUGUAGAUCUUUGGAAGGUGGAAUGGCAUUUGCAGCGUUGUAUGGGGUUGAUGAAGUGCCUACCAUUCAUGAGUCUAUUCUAGCCGUGUUAGCUAAGUAUGAAGAUGUUUUUGAUUGGCUUGGAGAGUUGCCACCACAAUGUACCAUUGAAGAUCAUAUACAUCUUAAAAAGGGGACUAAUCCAGUCAAUGUUCGGCCUUAUAGAUAUGCAUACCAGCAAAAGGAUGAGACGGAAAGAUUGGUUGAUGAAAUGAUGGCAUCUGGCAUAAAAACCUAGUACUAGUCCAUAUUUGAUCCCGUUCUUGUUGGUGAAAAAAAUGGUAGUUGACGGUUUUGUGUAGAUUACCGUGCGUUGAAUAGUGUGACCGUUCGAGACAAGUUUCCUAUUCCAGUAGUAGAGGAAUUGUUUGAUGACUUAAUGGGGCUAAUUAUUUUUGAAGAUUGAUCUCAAGGCGGGAUAUCAUCAAAUUAGAAUGUGUAAAAAGGAUGUGGAGAAAACAGCUUUUAGAACUCACGAGGGGCAUUAUGAGUUUCUUGUCAUGCCUUUUAGGCUCACCAAUGCACCAUCAACAUUUCAAGCUUUGAUGAAUAGUAUCUUUAAACCUUACCUACGCAGGUUUGUCUUAGUCUUUUUUGAUGAUAUUUUAAUUUACAGCAGAAGUUUGGAUGAAAAUCUUCAACAUUUAGAAUGGGUGUUAGAGGUGCUGCGAGAGAAUAAAUUAUAUGCUAAUAUGCACAAGUGUGGGUUUGCCAAAAUGAAAGUGGAGUAUCUUGGCCAUAUAAUUUCGGGCAAGGGUGUAGAGGGUGAUCCCGAGAAAAUUAGAUCUAUCAAAGAAUGGCCCGUGCCCACUAAUGUCCGUGAAGUUCGUGGAUUUCUUGGGUUGACAGGAUAUUAUCGAAGAUUUGUAAUGAAUUAUGGAAGUGUGGCUGCUCCUUUGACUCAAUUAUUGAAGAAAGGAGCUUAUGAAUGGACUGUUGCAGCUGCUGAAACUUUUGAGAAUUUAAAGAUGGCUAUGAUGACUCUCCCAAUCUUAGCACUGCCAGAUUUUUCCUUACCAUUUGAAAUAGAGACCGAUGCUUCUGGAUACGGGGUAGAUGCUGUCUUAAUUCAAAAUCAUCGGCCAAUUGCUUAUUUUAGCCUGACAUUAGCUAUGAGGGGUCGUGCUAAACCAGUUUAUGAACGGGAAUUUAUGGCUGUAGUUUUGGCUGUGCAAUGUUGUAGACCUUAUCUUUUGGGCAGGAGGUUUGUAGUGAAAAUUGAUCAACGAUCAUUGAAACUUUUAUUGGAACAAAGGGUUAUCCAACCUCGACAUCAGAGGUGGAUUGCUAGGCUUCUUGGCUACAAUUUUGAUGUCGUGUAUAAACCGGGACUAGAAAACAAAGCAGCAGAUGCCUUGUCUCGUGUUCCCCAACUUAAUCAACUUACUGUUGAGAUCAGUUAAAUUGGCAGUCCCCAACACUGAAGUUGACCCUAAAUUAGUCCAAGAAAUUAAUGGGAUGGAUCUGAAUGUCUUGUUCAAUGAUGAAGAUAUUCUCCCUAUUAAAAUUCCCCUGGAUUUGCCUAAUGAUUUAGUGUCUAUAGUCGGUGAUUGUGGAAUCAUUAUGGCUUAAAUUAGAUGUGCAACUGCCUUUUCCUCCUCCCAGUCAUUAUGAAGGUUGUCUCCUGGAGCACUAGGAGUUUGAACGACUCCUCUAAACGUGAAGCACUUAAAAAAUUCAUCAACUAUUGUAGUCCUAAUGUAGUCAUGAUUCAAGAAUCUAAGAAGGAUACCUUGAACUCAAUGCUAAGUUUGACUGCUCCCUUCGGAGUGACAAGUCUCGUUUUUCCCCUAGUGUGGAACGGGGAGGAUUCCUCCUAUUUUCAAAGCCCUCAUCAAACUCAAUGCUAUGUCUAGAACGCUAAGAGUAGGUGGUCUGCUUUUGGUUAGGCCAAAAGUGAAGUUUCCCUUCAUUUUUUUAUGGGAUUUUUCUGAUGUAUAAUGCAUAUGUUCUUUGUUUUUUUUAGCUCUUAAUUGUCUCGCUGUCUUAAGUUUUACAUUUGCAAAUCUCUCUUUUCUUUCUUUGGUACGCACACAAUAACCGAUGGGGUAACCUUUCUAUGGUUCUACACUUAGUUUCUAAGUUUGACUGCUCCCUUCGAAGUGACAACAAGAUUUGUUAAUGCCCACCCUUUCUAAAGGGAUUUAGUUCAUUGUGGCUAGAGAAGAGGCUCCAAACUCAUGUUUGACAAGACAAAUUUGUUAAAACCAUCUCAAUUUCUAAAGAGUACCUCCUAUCCUUUUUUAACUCUAUCUAGGCUAGGUUUGGACUAAGCGCAUCAUAGGUAAGUCAUGGCAAAGAAACAAAGGAAGACAAAGCUAGAAAAGUAUCCAUGCACUUAUUUAUUAUAUGCAUGCAAUCAAGCAUUCACAACACACAUACCAUUUUCUCAAUCAUGCAUUCACAUCUCCAUAAGAUAUCGCUAAAAAUGGGCUUAAACCAAAAAACACUGGCAGCUUAUUCUCAAAUUUCAGCACAUAUACUCAUCAACAUUCAGAAUUUUACAUCACAAACCCAAGCUCAGUGAUCAAGGGUUGCUAGUCAUGCUUUUUAUGCAAGAUCUAAGUAAUCUAAGAAGGUAUAGUGCUCAUUAUUGUAAGGAAAUUUUUUUUUAGAAAUUUUGAAGGGCAAAAUUUGAACCUCCAAGUUUAGACUAAACAUGCAAGCAAUUGCCCACCCCCACUUAAAAAAUUGCAAACUUUUGAAAAUCAAAAUAAAGGGAGAAAAAUAAGGGAGAACUUUGGACUCCCCUGGAAGGAUCGACAUCCUUGGCUUUGGUUUGAAGCUUGCAUGGAUAAACCUCUUCAUUCCUUUUUCAUUGAUUAUUCAUCCUUGUUCCUGAA